CUCCUCGCUCAAGUGCUGUGCCCAGACGGUGUUGAGAGACCUCAGACCACGGGGGGUUUUGACGUAGGCAACAACACCGACGACCACCAUGGCGGGUGUCUCGAUGAUGGUAACAGCCUCGCAGGUCUCCUUCUUGUGAAGCUCUAUACAAGAGUGAAACUUACUGGAUCCGGGCUUCUCGACAUCUCUAACAAUGUGGGUCAUACCGGCCUUGUAUCCCAUGAAGGCUGUGAACUUGCAAGGCUUGCUUUGGUCAUCCUUAGGGAACGCCUUCACUGUUUUUUUUAAGUACAACAACAUUAAUUUGUAAAAGAAAAGACAACAAACUCCAAAGUAACUUACAUCCCAAUCAUAGUACUAAAAGUCGGAUUAAUUUUUUUAAUUUUCCAGAUAAUCACAAGUAGGGUUUCAAUGAAACGCAAAAAAUAAAUUUAAAUAUUUGAGGCGAUUUUUUCAACGGUACGGUAAAUAUUUUAAAUACUUUUUUCAUUCAACGCUUGCAAAUUAUAUUGUUGUCACAUUUUUAUGUUAUCUGUCACCACAGACGUAAUCGUUAAACACUAGAAUCAUGGACGUUUAUAACUUUUUUCCCGGAAUGCGCACGUUUGAUUUGAGAAUUGAGAAUGUCGAGUGGCUUAUCCAGGUACGUACAAACACAGCCACCAUACAAACAUGCGAGAGGACCCGGACACGGUAGCUUCACGUUUUCGCAAUCUUUGUCAUCGUGACAUUUGCUUUCUGUUGUUGUCGUACCUUCAUAUAGAUUAUCAAAAAUAAAUAAAAAGGUAGUGAUUAUUUCUGAUAUAAAAUAAAACUAAAACUUCAACCAGUUGGAUCCAAACUUGAUGAUUGUUUUCUUGGUUACUAUGUUUCAGAAAUCUAUGAACUCGAACUAAAAGAAACUAAACUGGACCCUCCUAGUUAACAUAAUUCAUUUGACAGAAAGAAACAUAUUGUAAUCUAAGGUUCAUAUUAUUUCAUACUAAAUGAAAAUAGCAUUUAUUUAAAAUGAUACAAAAUUGUACUCGUUAAUAUAUAUAAAACCCCAAUUGAAUACAUGAAAAUCACAUACAUGUUGUAGUCAUCAGAGAUAGUCAGAUAGAUGUAUAUAUAUUAUAUUUUAAUACAUUUUGAAAAUCAUAUAUUUGUAUACAAGCGAAGUACUUACAGAAGGCAUAUAGAAGGAACAUGAACAAGAAGAAGACUGGUUUUGCUGAAUUCAUCUCUAUACUUAAAUUACGAUAUACUAUUAUUGUUUUUGAAAUAUAAGCGAAAAUUUUCUCUGGUUAUUUAUGGCUUGUGAGUAUGAGGGUAACAUGAAUUAUAUAUUGCUUUUAUUUAGGGAAACAAACUUUUUGACACCAAUUUAUUAUUUUAUUCCAAACUUAACUUUUAUUAUUCUUAAUUACUAUUUUCACACAUAUUUGUUUCCUUUCAAGAAAUUUUUUUCAUAAUUAUAAUAUACUUUACUUGAUUUUCCUACAUAUUUUUUUACUUUCCACAGAUUUACUUGAAAAACUUAAUUAGUAUACAAAUUAAGAAGUCUUAAUUUGAUUUAAAUUACUUGUGGCCAAUUUUUUAAGUUGUAUACUAAUUAAGUUUUAUACAACUGAAUUAGUAACAAAUUUGCUUUAGUUUGUUUUACGCAUAUUAAGAAAAUGUCUUCACUUUUUUAUUAUAAAUGUAUUGUUUUCUCUAUUUAGUGGUUUACAAUAGUUUGGACCAAUUGUCUUUUAAUAUGUGAUUUUAUUUUUGAAUUUUUAAGUUAUUAACCAAUAAAAAUUGCAUAGGAACACAUAAGACAUAUAUCUUUUUGAAAACAAGUUUAGAGAGAAAAAAAAACAUUUAUCUUGCUGAAACAUGAGGAGUAUUGAAUAAAAUCCCAAAAAAAAUAUAUUAUAUAUCAAAGUAAUACACCUUGUCUUAUGCUCAAUAAUAGACCUACAAUAUUUAGACAUUAAUUAUUAAAAUGAGUUAGCAUAUAUCAUACAACAUAUUAUACCAUGUCAUCUUACAUUAUAUAAUUCUAAAUAUUUACAAAAUCAAUUUGAGUAAAACACUUUUGCAAACCAUAUGUUCAAAACAAAAUUAUAUAUAUUAUGUAAAUAACUUUUAUAAGAAGUAUUUAUAAUAAAAAAUGUAUCUUAUUUAAAUCUAACCAACUCAAUAAAUGUAAUUCUUAUAAAUGUGUACAAAAUAUAACGAGAGAGUAAGCAUGGGAAUUCGGAUCUUUGAUGGGGUACGGAUCGAUUUUUUUCGGGUUUUAGAGAAAUUUUUGGUUUGUGUUCGGUUCAGUUCAUUUCGGAUCCGGGUGGGUUCUAGUCCAUUAUAUAAAUACUUGUAACGUACCUGCAAAUUUUAGUUAUGUAACGGGCUGGAUUGGUUCAGAUAUUCAAAAUACCUGAAAACACAAAAAUAUUCAAAACACAAAGAAAUAUCAAAAAAAUCAAAUACUCAAAAAUAUCCAAAAUUUUAUAAGAAAUCUAAUCCGAGUAACCAAAAAAACACCCAAAUUUUAUCUGAAUACCUAAAAUAUAUUUUAAAAUUUUUGAAGUUCUAUCUAAAACCAAAACUAUAACCGAAAACUCAAACCAAAAACUUAAAAAGUAGAUAUAAUGCCAAAAAAACAUAUCUGAAAUACACAUAUAUACCUAAUAUAUAAAAAAAUAUUUGGGUCCUUUAUGUACCGGAUCCUAGACUCGAACAGAGACCCAUGGGUCAAAAAAAUAUAAAAUAGGUAUAUUCCCUAAGCAAAUAUGUAUUUUAGGUUUGUUUUUUUUUAAACGUUUACUAGAUUUUGAUCAGAUUUUCGGAAACGUGGAUUUUUUUGAUUAAAUAUUUAAUUCAGCAUAUUUUUAUAGGACAUAUAUUGUAUUUUAACAUGUAUUAAAAAUAUAUCAAAUUUUGAUUAUAAAUACACCAUUUUUAUUAAUUAGUUUAUUUUCACAAUUUUAUACUAAUAAAAAAUCAAAAAACACAAAUAAUAUUUAUAGAAGUUAAUGAAACACCAUUAUUAACUAAUAAACAUAUAUAAAAUGUAAAAAUGUACUUUCCAAAUAGUAUUUUUAAAUAAAUUUGAUUUUCAUAAAUAUUUAUUCAGGCUAGCUCAGUAUUUCUUAGUUUUAUGAUCAAGCCAGGCUUUCAUAAGUAGACUGGCUCACACAUAUAUUAUCAAUUUGCAUAAACAAAGUUGUCAUCUCAACUUAACCUACAGGUUAUCAAAAAUUAAAACUUAUAAAAUGAUAAGAACAGAUGAAGAAAAGCAUAUGACGUUCAAACUCUCCAAAUAAAUAAAACACAAAAGUGCGGCGAAUAGUUCUAAAGAGUAUUCUGAAGAAGAGAAAAGAGGUUAAGAAAACUGGAACAAGAAAAUCAAAAUGUUUAAGCUUUGGCAGAGGCACGGCCGUAGAACUUGUUCUUUUCCUGGGUAGUCUGGAAUUUGCCAUGUCCCAUCUUUGAGGAAGUGUCGAUAAACUUGAGGUUGAUCUGCUCCAUGGCAAGACGGGAAGUCUGAGUGAGGAGUGACUGUCUAAGAGUCACAACCCUCUUCUUUGGACCCAUGCAGCAUCCCUUGAUCAUCAAGUAGUCAUCCUUCACUACACCAUAGUGUGCGAAUCCUCCCAUUGGAGUCACAUCCUUCUCGGUCCUAUCAUAGCCACAACAACCAUCAGUUACAUAAAACCAAAACAGCAGAGAGUAAGUGAAACAGUAGAUAGAGAAAUUUCAACUGACCUGUCGUAUUCAGUCAUGGCAGUGUGUGUCUCCUGACCAACCUUGCCCAACCUGUAAAUCUUCUUGUUAAGCUCGGUACGGUGAUGGUAACCGUUCUGACCAGCUCUGGCCACAGUGUAGGACACUCUAGCUGGAUGCCAUGCACCGAUACAAGCAACCUUACGAAGACCCCUGUGAGUCUUACGUGGAAGCCUAGUCACACCCCAACGAGUCACAACACCUUCGUAACCUUUACCCUUGGUCACACCAAUCACAUCAAUCAUCUCAUCCUUCUGGAAAACAGCGUCGAUGGGAAUCUGCUUCUCAAAGAAGCUGUAGGCAAAGUCGACCUUCUGGGCAAUGGUACCACCGUUGACCUGGAUCUCCAUCAUGUGAGCCUUCUUCUGCUUCAACCCCUUCAUCUUCCUGAUCUGCGUGUGGGCCAAGACACGGAUGACAGUUCCGUACUUCUUCAUCUUCUCGAGCUGAGACUGGAUGCUCUUCUUGCCUUCCUCGGUUUCGUACUGCUUGGCGUAUCCAGUGAAGGCCUUCUUCUUGGACUUGGCCCAGUUCUUGUAGAACCUUCUCCUGACCUCCUCGCUCAAGUGCUGUGCCCAGACGGUGUUGAGAGACCUCAGACCACGGGGGGUUUUGACGUAGGCAACAACACCGACGACCACCAUGGCGGGUGUCUCGAUGAUGGUAACAGCCUCGCAGGUCUCCUUCUUGUGAAGCUCUAUACAAGAUUACACAAGCAAACAAAAUAGUAUAAAUAAUGAAAUUUGAUUAAUAAUUUUUUUUUUAAAAAGAAUGAAUUAAAUGAGAGUGAAACUUACUGGAUCCGGGCUUCUCGACAUCUCUAACAAUGUGGGUCAUACCGGCCUUGUAUCCCAUGAAGGCUGUGAUCUUGCAAGGCUUGCUUUGGUCAUCCUUAGGGAACGCCUUCACUGUUUUUUUCCGGUACAACAACAUUAGUUUGUAAAAGAAAAAGACAGCAAACUCCAAGUAACUUAAAAAAAACAAAACAAAAACCAAUCAUAGUACUAAGAAGUCGGAUAAG
rnacentral:lncRNA from 1 species